UCAGGAUGAACGCUGGCGGCGUAGCCUAACACAUGCAAGUCGACGAAGCAUACCUGAAUGAGAUUCGUCGAAGGAUGGUAUGACUUAGUGGCGGACGGGUGAGUAAUGUAUGAGCAACCUGCCUUUCAGAGGGGGACAACAGUUGGAAACGACUGCUAAUACCGCAUAAUGUAUUGAGAGGGCAUCCUUUUGAUACCAAAGGAGCAAUCCGCUGAAAGAUGGGCUCAUAUCUGAUUAGUUAGUUGGCAGGGUAACGGCCUACCAAGACUGCGAUCAGUAGCCGGACUGAGAGGUUGAACGGCCACAUUGGGACUGAGAUACGGCCCAGACUCCUACGGGAGGCAGCAGUGGGGAAUAUUGGGCAAUGGGCGAAAGCCUCGACCCAGCAACGCCGCGUGAAGGAAGAAGGUCUUCGGAUUGUAAACUUCUUUUAUGAGGGACGAAGGACGUGACGGUACCUCAUGAAUAAGCCACGGCUAACUACGUGCCAGCCGCUGC
rnacentral:rRNA from 1 species